UAUGGCAUUAGCUGGCUGCUCUAA
rnacentral:piRNA from 1 species